UACGAAGGGGGCUAGCGUUGUUCGGAUUUACUGGGCGUAGAGGGCGCGUAGGCGGAUUUUUAAGUCAGGGGUGAAAUCCCAAGGCUCAACCUUGGAACUGCCUUUGAUACUGGGAAUCUUGAGUCCGGGAGAGGUGAGUGGAACUGCGAGUGUAGAGGUGAAAUUCGUAGAUAUUCGCAAGAACACCAGUGGCGAAGGCGGCUCACUGGCCCGGAACUGACGCUGAGGCGCGAAAGCGUGGGGAGCAAACAGG
rnacentral:rRNA from 1 species